GACGUAGGAUGCAAGCGUUGUCCGGAUUUAUUGGGCGUAAAGAGUUCGUAGGCGGUUUGUUAAGUCUAGUGUUAAAGAUCAGGGCUCAACCCUGGGACUGCACUGGAUACUGGCAGACUUGAGUAUGGUAGAGGUAAGUGGAAUUCCUGGUGUAGCGGUGAAAUGCGUAGAUAUCAGGAAGAACACCAGUGGCGUAGGCGACUUACUGGGCCAUAACUGACGCUGAGGAACGAAAGCCAGGGGAGCAAAUGGG
rnacentral:rRNA from 1 species